rnacentral:rRNA from 1 species
AGCGAACGCUGGCGGCAGGCCUAACACAUGCAAGUCGAACGAAGUCUUCGGACUUAGUGGCGGACGGGUGAGUAACACGUGGGAACGUGCCUUUAGGUUCGGAAUAACUCAGGGAAACUUGUGCUAAUACCGAAUGUGCCCUUCGGGGGAAAGAUUUAUCGCCUUUAGAGCGGCCCGCGUCUGAUUAGCUAGUUGGUGAGGUAAAGGCUCACCAAGGCUACGAUCAGUAGCUGGUCUGAGAGGAUGACCAGCCACAUUGGGACUGAGACACGGCCCAAACUCCUACGGGAGGCAGCAGUGGGGAAUCUUGCGCAAUGGGCGAAAGCCUGACGCAGCCAUGCUGCGUGAAUGAUGAAGGUCUUAGGAUUGUAAAAUUCUUUCACCGGGGACGAUAAUGACGGUACCCGGAGAAGAAGCCCCGGCUAACUUCGUGCCAGCCGCCGCUGUAAUAC